GGGGGGGUGUUCUCCCCCAGCAUCCUCUGGGGCGGGGAAGGGUGCCCUGUUCUCCCCCAGCAUCCUCUGGGGUGGGUGGGGUGUCCCGUUCACUCCCAGCAUCCCUCUUGGGGAAGUCACAGGGCAACGAGUGGCCGGUCUCGGAGAGGUCAUAGGGACAGUGAGGGGCCCAUCUCUGGGAGAUCCAGGGCAGUGAGGAGCCAGUGUUGGCAAAGUCACAGGGCAGCGAGGGGCCAGUCUCGGGGAAACCCAGGGCAGCGAGGGGCCAGUCUCGAGGAGGUCACAGGGGCAGCAAGGGGUCAGUCUCGGGCAGACCCAGGGCAGCGAGGGGCCAGUCUCGGGGAGACCCAGGGGGGCCUGCAGCAGGACAGGCCCCGU